GACGAACGCUGGCGGCGUGCUUAACACAUGCAAGUCGAGCGCCCCGCAAGGGGUGCGGCAGACGGGUGAGUAACGAGUGGGAAUCUACCCAUCUCUACGGAAUAACGCAUGGAAACGUGUUCUAAUACCGUAUACGUCCUUCGGGAGAAAGAGUUGUCGGAGAUGGAUGAGCCCGCGUUGGAUUGGCUAGUUGGUGGGGUAAAGGCGUACCAAGGCGACGAUACACAGCUGGUCUGAGAGGAUGAACAGCCACACUGGGACUGAGACACGGCCCAGACUCCUACGGGAGGCAGCAGGGGGGAAUAUUGGACAAUGGGCGAAAGCCUGAUCCAGCCAUGCCGCGUGAGUGAUGAAGGUCCUAGGAUUGUAAAGCUCUUUCACCGGUGAAGAUAAUGACGGUACCCGGAGAAGAAGCCCCGGCUAACUUCGUGCCAGCAGCCGCCGUAACAC
rnacentral:rRNA from 1 species